rnacentral:tRNA from 1 species
GCCACGGUGGUGAAAUGGUAUACACGAGGGCCUUAAGAGCCCUUAUCCGACUAGGAUGUGAGAGUUCGAGUCUCUCCCGUGGCA